AUAGCAAAGAACGGGAGCUUGUGUGCCAGGCUGAGAGGGAGUUAGAACUUCGACCGCACUUGAUUUGGGUAAUGCCAACGUAAGUAUUCUUUAUAAUUAUAAGA
rnacentral:ncRNA from 2 species